GAAUUCUCACAUGACUCCAUUCUUGGACCAUGUUCCAAUAGUAUGAGCACGGGAGAGAAGAAGAAUAUUUCUCCACAUAAACUCUGCUGCCUUUUAAAAUAUGAACACUAGUUUUCUUUAACUGCUGAGUCACUGGUGAAUAGAAACUGAUUUUAGUGUUUUCAAA